rnacentral:tRNA from 1 species
CGGGGCGUAGCGCAGCCUGGUUAGCGCACCUGACUGGGGGUCAGGGGGUCGCUGGUUCGAAUCCAGUCGCCCCGACCA